GACGAACGCUGGCGGCGUGCCUAAUACAUGCAAGUCGAACGCAGUUGCGAACGGGUGAGUAACGCGUAGGUAACUGCCUCAUAGCGGGGGAUAACUCUUGGAAACGAUAGCUAAUCCCGCAUACUGUGAGAUGGACCUGCGUUGUAUUAGCUAGUUGGUGAGGUAAAGGCUCACCAAGGCGACGAUACAUAGCCGACCUGAGAGGGUGAUCGGCCAAACUGGGACUGGGAAACGGCCCAGACUCCUACGGGGGGGAGCAGGAGGGAAUCUUCGGAAAUGGACGGAAGUCGGAACGAGCAACGCCGCGGGAGUGAAGAAGGGUUUCGGAUCGUAAAGCUCUGUUGUGAGAGAAGCGGUAACUAACGAGAAAGGGACGGCUAACUACGUGCCAGCAGCCGCGGUAAUUC
rnacentral:rRNA from 1 species